rnacentral:rRNA from 1 species
UCAUUGCACACACAAAGUUGCAGCAAACCCCCCUUGCGAAUUUCAUGAUUGUCCCCCUCGUGUCUUGGGGGGCCGGGGCAAAGUUUGUCCCGGCCUGCCGAACACACGCCCAAGUCCCCUGUGACUUGGUGUACCCAAACCGAUUGCGCAAUGCAUCAACACUUUCAAUAUGACUGAGUAUAAGAUCGGGAUGCUGCCGCUUGCGAAGGUGGUGGCGUCCCGGAGUUGUAAUAAACGAAAACAACUCUCAGCAACGGAUAUCUUGGCUCUUGCAACGAUGAAGAACGCAGCGAAAUGCGAUACGUAGUGUGAAUUGCAGAAUUCCGCGAAUCAUCGAGUUUUUGAACGCAAGUUGCGCCCGAGGCUUGACCAAGGGCAUCUCUGCCAGAGCGUCACCGCGACACCCACCAAACCACUCUUGAGUGAGUGGUUCGAGUGAAAGUGGCCAUCCGAAUGGGGCCACCCGGGGGAGGGGAAACUCUUCUCUGGGCGGCAGAUUGGGUUGGCUGAAAUGGAGGGAAUUUGGCCGCCGUGGUGACACACAGCCCGCGAUCAGGUGAUCCAGGCCCGCCCCCCUCCCACCUGCAAAGGUGGUGGUGGUGGCGGUGGUGUCCUGGAGCUCAAAUGUGCGUCGGUUGUGCCGCCCAGUUUGGCUACCAAGGGAUUCCAAAGCAGGUCCCUCCCGACACUCGGGCCCCCCGAGUGGAGGGAGGAAAACAAAGUC